GCUGAACUUGUCACUAUAGAUGUGGCUACCUGGCCACAGUGGUGACAGCAGGGCAGAGCUUGUGGCAAUUUCUACAUUCAGUGUUCAAACUUUUACACUCAGUGUUCAAACCUAUGGGUGCUCAGAAUGGUUUGUAGCCUCACAUU